GGCAUCUCUUGAAUAUCAAAGGUGAGCCAGUACAGGAUGGACCCGCGUCUGAUUAGCUAGUUGGUAAGGUAACGGCUUACCAAGGCGACGAUCAGUAGCCGACCUGAGAGGGUGAUCGGCCACAUUGGAACUGAGACACGGUCCAAACUCUUACGGGAGGCAGCAGUGGGGAAUAUUGCACAAUGGGCGAAAGCCUGAUGCAGCAACGCCGCGUGAGUGAUGAAGGCUUUCGGGUCGUAAAACUCUGUCCUCAAGGAAGAUAAUGACGGUACUUGAGGAGGAAGCCCCGGCUAACUACGUGCCAGCAGCCGCGGGAAUACGUAGGGGGCUAGCGUUAUCCGGAUUUACUGGGCGUAAAGGGUGCGUAGGCGGUCUUUCAAGUCA
rnacentral:rRNA from 1 species